UGAUGAGCGCGACUGCCCAGGUGGGCAGGGGCAGGUGUGUGGUGGGCGGUGGCCUGCGGUGAGCAGGGCCUUCACACCUGCCUCGCCCCCCAGGUGUGAAACGCCCCAGAU
ensembl:miRNA